rnacentral:lncRNA from 1 species
GGACACAUCCAGUGGAUACUGUGCAGACCUUCUCCAGCUAAUCUCAGGAAGGCUGAAGUUUUUAGACGGCUACCCUUCAUAUUUAGGGAGAGAAUAUAACCAUGUGGAAAGUCUAGUCUUCAUGUGGAACAUCUGUUACGAAGAAAUUCUACUUGGAAAGCUUGUCUGCUCUAUUAACCCAUCCCUGUUGCUCACUUGGAAGAAGAGGGCCUUCACUUUCCACUGUAAGAAGAAGGUCUUCUGUUGCUCUGAACGCUUCUGUUUAGAGACCUUUCUUCACUGUCCCCAAGGGAUGUUUUCUAAGCCAAGUUCACCUACGAUCUCACACACGCGCUGUUGAGGUGUAAUGUUACAGACAUGGUGAUUUACAACGCAGAUAUAUUACCCCAGAUCCUCCAGGUGUUGGAGAAGGGCCCUCCUGACAACUUGAUUCCGUGUCUUCCUCUGUUGAAUUGGAUUUAUCUUACCUUCUUUCACUAAGCCCCCGGGGCUCUUUAUCUCUCAGCUCAUCUGAAUUUUUUCCCCAGUGGCAAGACUCCCGUGCUGCCUGGCUUCCAUGAAGAAUCUGGCACAGAAUACUGAACUUGCGGACAAAGCCCUGUGUGCUCUGUGACUUCACAGUCUGCCUAGCAGACAGAGAAGCACGCCCCCAUCCCAUCUUAAAAGCUUGUUAAAGCUAAGUGCAGUUCUCAAGACUUUAAAGUGUUUAUCUGUGAGUCUCACUCAACCCUAAAUUAAAGACCUUGUCCUCAA